rnacentral:rRNA from 1 species
GUGAGGAAUAUUGGUCAAUGGGCGAGAGCCUGAACCAGCCAAGUCGCGUGAAGGAUGAAGGUUUUAUGAAUUGUAAACUUCUUUUGCAGGGGAAUAAAGUACGGUAUGUGUACCGUUUUGUAUGUACUCUGCGAAUAAGGAUCGGCUAACUCCGUGCCAGCAGCCGCGGUAAUACGGAGGAUCCAAGCGUUAUCCGGAUUUAUUGGGUUUAAAGGGUGCGCAGGCGGGUUGAUAAGUCAGCGGUGAAAGUUUGCAGCUUAACUGUAAAAUUGCCGUUGAAACUGUCGAUCUUGAGUGCAAAUGAGGUAAGCGGAAUGUGUUGUGUAGCGGUGAAAUGCUUAGAUAUAACACAGAACACCGAUUGCGAAGGCAGCUUACUGGGAUGCAACUGACGCUCAUGCACGAAAGCGUGGGGAUCAAACAGGAUUAGAAACCCGUGUAGUCC